rnacentral:siRNA from 1 species
UACAGUUAGAUUUUGGUCAUGCCU